UCGGCCCACCAUUCUUUUUCUGGAACCGACCGCAGCGCGUGUCCUCCUCGGCUCCUCCCCUUCUCUUCCUUCUUCUUUCUUCGCCGCAGACCCGAUUCUUUUCUUUGACCGACCGCGGUGCGUCCCAUGGCCAUGGCGUCGGCUGCCUCCAGUACCCGCAGCGCGUCCAGGAAGCGCCUGCAGAGCCAGUCUCCACCUCCCGCAUGAGAGGGCCCGAGCGAGCCCCCGCCCCGCUUCGCGGAAAAUCCCGACCUCGUCCUCUCCCUCGAGGGCAAGGAGCUCUCCCUUUAGCUUCAAAGAUUAGCCGGCGGGUGUUCGAUGUUGUUCGCGGCGACCCUGAGGAGUGAGGAGAUGGGGAUGCACCUGGCCAUGUCCGGCGCCGGCAGCUCCUCUCCUUCUGUUCCUUCCUUCUUCGCCACAGUCCUGAUUCGCUUCUGUUCCUCUUUCUCUCUUUCGUUCGAUUGGUCGGAGCAGGUUCAUUUCGCGGAUCCGCUCACUGUACAGACGAAGCUUCUGAAGAAUCGUUAUGGCCGCCAAAUACCAACAAUGUGAUACAGUUUUUCACUGCAGAUACACACUAGGGAAAGAAGAGUGUCUUUGUUCGACAAACCAGAGUGCUUUGUGAUAGGAAAGUAUCAAACUGCUCCAUGUGUUCGAGAAAGCAGAAUGCUCUGUGACAGUCAGCUAUAGCGCUGUUUGUCUUGGCUGGUAUUUGCUGAUAAUAAUCAUCAAGUUGUUGUCCUUUCCUCUCAAGGUUCUUGAACAGAAACAAGAAAGGAAUGCCCUGUGACUCUGUACCUGCUGGAAACACAAGAUAAAUCAUCAUCGUCAGACCCUAAAAAGAUGAGUAGUGGAUUUCUCCCAUUUGUUAUUUGAACAUGUUCCUUGCCUGAACAGUGACAUGUUAUGAUAGUGAUAUUUUUACUUCUCUGUGUUGCUGGCGCAGGUCCGUCGCCCGUCGAACAGCAGAUUAUAAUUUAUGGUGUUGACUCACUAAAUUAUGUGACGAGGUGGCAAGAUGUUUCAGUGCUUCAGUACUGUGCUUUUAGUUUCCAAACUGAUAUUUCCCGAGUUUUUUUGCUGAUCCAUACUCGUUUUUUCCUGAUGCAAACACUUGCUCUGACGAUUCUGUGACGUGUAAACCCGUUUUUCCUGAUGCGAACACUUGCCUUAAACUCAGUCCUAUGUGUCCUCUACUAUCUAUAACCAAGAGUCAAAUAUCUAUACCACUAUAUAGUGUGCCAAUAGCUUCAAAUAUUGGUCGUUGGAUAUGCCCAUCCAACGGUCAAGAGAAGGCAAAUCCGAGCAUUAUCAUCCGUUGGAUAUAGUUUUCAACUCAUAGAAUUCUGCCACGUGGUCUUCUAAUUGAACUCCCAACUCAACCAUCUCAUGUGUUCUAGAAGCAUCUAUUCACAUACUUAUCUGAUACUCUAAUAAAAAGAGACUAGAACAAUUUGGAUUCUAUAGAGGUAAGAACCAAGUUGGAUCUUGUCCGACAUGAUUCUAGGAAAGAUAAUACAUAUUCAAAUGUAUUUUCCCAUGCUUUUUAUAUAUAUUUAAAUGGCGUGCAAAGCACGUACAAUUUACUAGUAUGGAGUAGUUCAAGCAUGCAGGCCUGCGUAGGUUUUCUUUUUAUCCUUGAGCGAGUAAUACAAUCUUUUUACUUAUUAAGUUUUUUAAAUACAUUACACACAUGGUAAACAAUUUUUAAUUGUGGGCAUGUAGCCAUAGCGCCCCCUACCAAGUGUCGGGACCCGAACUUCACCAUAGCCUUUUUCUCAUAAUUAGUUUACUCAAUACAAAUUUUGUUCACCCAAUACAAAUUUUCUUCACCUAUUUUUCAAAAUUAGUUCACCAAAUACAUAUUUUGUUCACCCCUUUUCACAAUCAGUUUACAAAUACAAAUCUAGUUCACCAAAUUCAAAUUUAUUUCACCAAUUUUUUCACAGUUAGUACACAACAAAUUCAAAUUUAGUUCACACGCUUCAAAUCUAGUCAUUUUAAGUUUAGUUCCCUCAUUACAAACUUAGUUCACCCAAUAUAUUUUUUUACCCAUUUUUAGUAUUAGUUCACCGAAGACAAAUUUUGUUCACCCUUUUCUCAAAAAAAUUGCUCACCCUUUUUCAAAAUUAGUUCGCUAAAUACAAAUAUAGUUCACCCAUUAGAAAAAUUAGGUCACCGAUUUCAAUUUUUGUUCACCUAUUUUCAUAAUUAGUUCACCCAAUACAACGUUUGUUUACCCCUUUUUCCAAAAUUAGUUCACAAAUACAUAUAUAGUAAAACAAAUCCAAAUUUAGUUCACCCAUUUUUAAAAUAAAGUCUUUCAUUUCAAAUAUAGUUUUUUAAACUUUAUUCCAAAUUUAGUUCACCAAUUUUCAACUUUCGUUGACCCAUUUUAAAAUUUAGUUCACCCAAUUCAAAAUUAGUUCAACCAAUAGAAGUUUUGUUCAGCUAUUUUCAAAAUCAGUUCAACAAAUACAAAAUUUAAUCACCCUUUCUUCAAAACAAAUUGCACCAUUUAAAAAUUACUUAACUACAUACAAAUAUAGUUCGCCCAUUUUAAAAAAUAUGUCACCCACUCAAAUUUAAUUCACCCAUUUUCUAAUUAGUUCACCCAAUUCAAAAUUAAUUCACCUAUUUUCAAAUGUAGUCUACCCAAUGCAAAUUUUGUUCACCCAUUUUCCAAAAUUAGUUCACCUAAUACUAAUUUGGUUCAGCCUAUCUAAAAUUAUAUCACAAAUACACAUAUAGUUCAGAAAAUUCAAAUUUAGCUCACUCAUUUUUGAAAUUACGCUUUCAUUUAAAAUUUAGUUCACUGAUUUUUAAAUUUAGUUCACCAAAUUUAAAAUUAGUUCACUAAUUUUCAAAUUUAGUUCACCCAAUACAAAUUUUGUUCAUGCAUUUUCAAAAUUAGUUCACCAAUUCAAUUUUGUGCAGCCUUUUUUUUCAAAAUAAAAUGUUCACUAAUUUCAAAAUUAGUUCACUAAAUACAAAUAUAGUUCACCCAAUUCAAAUAUAGUUCACCCAUUUUCCAAAUUAGAUCACUCGUUUCAAAGUUAGUUCACCAAUUUUCAGUUUAGUUCACCAAUUUUCAAAUUUAGUUCACCCAAUAUAAUGUUUUUCACCCAUUGAAAAAUUAGUUUGACUAAUACUAUUUUUGUUCAGAUUUUCAAAAUUAGUUCACAAAUACAAAUAUAGUUCACCCAUUUUCAAAACAAGUUCCGUAAUACUACUUUUAUUCGCCUUUUCUCAAAAUUAGUUGAUAAAUACAAGUUUAGUUCACUCAUUUUCCAAAUUUAGUUCACAACAAAUUCAAAUUUAUUUCACACGAUUUCAAAAUUAGUCAUUGUAAAUUCAGUUCACUUGUUUCAAAUAUAGUUCACCCAAUACAAAUUUUGUUCAUCCAUUUUCAAAUAUAGUUCACGAAAUGCAAAUUCAAUUCACCCUUUUUCAAGAAAUUUGUUCACACAGUUUUAGAACUAUUUCAUUGAAUACAAAUAUAUUUCACACAAUUCAAAUAUAGUUCACACAUUUUGAAAAUAAGGUCUCCCAUUUGAAAUUUGGUUCGCCCAUUUUCAAACUUAGUUCACCAAACUCAAAAUUACUUCACUAUUUUUGAAAUUAGUCAUGAAACUUAAAGAAAAAAUCACCAUUUUAAAAAUUAGUCAUUGAGACACCUUAAUAAUCAAAAUUAGUUCAACCAAUGCAAAUUUGUUUACCCUUUUUAUUCAAAUUUAGUUCACAAAUAGAUAUUAUUCGCAAAAAUAGUUAAGAAAUAGAUAUAUAGUUCACCUUUAUUUAAGUUCAUAAACUUUUCAAAUUCUAAAAGUUAUUUUUUCCCGAAAAGUCUAAUGAAAAAAAAUCCCAAACAAAAGUCAAAUCGCACGUACCGUUGCAUGUACUUAUUAACUAUUUUAAAUUCUAGUUGUUUUUUCAUCUAUUUUCCAGCUUUAGUAGAGACUUGUUCAACUAUGAAAUAUGUUAUCGUCUUCCUUUUUCUAUUUAAAAAAAAAUAUAACUGGAGCAAUCUGUCAUCAGAAAAUAAGCAGUAACUUUCCCACUACUAGGCAACAUAUCGAGCGAACCCACACAGGCUUAUACAAGAAACAACAUACCGAAGGAAAAAACUUUAACGUAACCACAAACUCGAAACAAAAGGCUCGGUACGAAGGAGUGGGCUUUCCCGAACGAAACAGCCGGCCCACUUGGGACUCGUAGUGGGCGCCAGAUCAUCCAAUCGGCGCUGAAGGCGCCGAUUAGGAGGUCCCAGCGGUUCGUUAGGUCUAGCCGCCGUCGCCUCCCUAUCCGAUCCCCUUCCUCUAUGCUUACUUUGUUUCUGGUUUCAGAUCAACCAGCUCAUUGAAGCAGCGCGAGAGUUGCCGACGUUCAUCGCUGAUGCCCGCUACACGCCUGACGUUACAUCUCCAACAGCUGAUGGAGCAGCUUGACCAAGAAGCCCAGUCCAGAGCUCACUGAGGAGGAGCUUGUCAAGGAGAGGCAUGCCAACGCUCUUUUGCAGGAGCAGCUUCGAAAGAAGAACGAAGAUGAAGCCGCGUACAAGCAGCAGAUAGCAACUCUCACGCAGAGGAAUCAAGCUGAAGCAAAGAAAAGCAAGAGUGACGUGGCCAAGCUCCAAGACGAGAUAAGGAAGCUCACUGGUGUUCUUAAGGCUAGGCAUGAGGAAGACAAGCUGUUCUUGGAGCGCAUGCAAGGCGCCUUGAAGGCUUGGGAUGAUCGCAUAGCUGCUCGCGAAGCUUCAACCGCUUCUGGUGACAAAGGACCAAGCAAGAAGAAUGCUGGAGCUGGGGUCAAGACUUCUGGAACAGGUGGCAAGUGAGGUUUACAGGGCAUCACAAGGAUGGAGGAUCAAUGUUGCGAGGAUUCAAGCCUGAGGCUGCUUUAGUGGUGUGGAUUUGUCUCCACAGGUGUUGAUCUCCUUGUAAUAGGUCUAGUCUGCUUGUUGAUGCCUGUUUUGCUUAGUUGACACUCCUGUUGUGCGCCUCCCUCCUGGUGGCUUUUGUUUAGAGGGCUUAACUCCUGCGUUGGAUGUUGGAUCUUAUUACUUUGGGCUUUGUUAGUUAGUUGUUUGCUGCGUUUUUCGUUUGUG